rnacentral:rRNA from 1 species
UAGGGAAUAUUAGAAAUGGACGAAAGUCUGAUCUAGCAACACCGCGUGUGCGAAGAAGGCCUUCGGGUUGUAAAGCACUUUUUGAGAGGAUGAGGAAGGACAGUACUCUUAGAAUAAGCCUCGGCUAACUACGUGCCAGCAGCCGCGGUAAAACGUAGGAGGCGAGCGUUAUCCGGAUUUACUGGGCGUAAAGCGUGUGUAGGCGGUUUGAUAAGUUGGAUGUGAAAGCUCCUGGCUUAACUGUGAGAGGUCGUUCAAGACUAUCAGACUUGAGAGUGGUAGAGGGAGGUGGAAUUCCGCAUGUAGUGGUGAAAUGCGUAGAUAUGCGGAGGAACACCAGUGGCGAAAGCGGCCUUCUGGACCAUUUCUGACACUCAGAUGCGAAAGCUAGGGUAGCAAACG